rnacentral:rRNA from 1 species
CCUACGGGAGGCAGCAGUGGGGAAUAUUGCACAAUGGGGGAAACCCUGAUGCAGCGACGCCGCGUGAGUGAAGAAGUAUUUCGGUACGUAAAGCUCUAUCAGCAGGGAAGAAAAUGAUGGUAUCUGACUAAGAAGUGACGGCUAACUACGUGCCAGCAGCCGCGGUAAUACGUAGGGGGCAAGCGUUAUGCGGAUUUACUGGGUGUAAAGGGAGCGUAGACGGCAGCGCAAGUCUGGAGUGAAAUCCCAUGGCUUAACCAGGGAACUGCUUUGGAAACUGUGCAGCUAGAGUGCAGGAGAGGUAGGCGGAAUUCCUAGUGUAGCGGUGAAAUGCGUAGAUAUUAGGAGGAACACCAGUGGCGAAGGCGGCUUACUGGACUGUAACUGACGUUGAGGCUCGAAAGCGUGGGGAGCAAACAGGAUUAGAUACCCCGGUAGUC